rnacentral:rRNA from 1 species
AGCAGCCGCCGCGGUAAUACAGAGGGUGCGAGCGUUAAUCGGAUUUACUGGGCGUAAAGCGUGCGUAGGCGGCUUCUUAAGUCGGAUGUGAAAUCCCUGAGCUUAACUUAGGAAUUGCAUUCGAUACUGGUUAGCUAGAGUGUGGGAGAGGAUGGUAGAAUUCCAGGUGUAGCGGUGAAAUGCGUAGAGAUCUGGAGGAAUACCGAUGGCGAAGGCAGCCAUCUGGCCUAACACUGACGCUGAGGUACGAAAGCAUGGGGAGCAAACAGGAUUAGAUACCCCAGUAGUCCCUGUCUCUUAUAU